GCUCAGGAUGAACGCUGGCGGCGUGCCUAAUACAUGCAAGUCGAACGCGAGCACUUGUGCUCGAGUGGCGAACGGGUGAGUAAUACAUAAGUAACCUGCCCUAGACAGGGGGAUAACUAUUGGAAACGAUAGCUAAGACCGCAUAGGUACGGACACUGCAUGGUGACCGUAUUAAAAGUGCCUCAAAGCACUGGUAGAGGAUGGACUUAUGGCGCAUUAGCUGGUUGGCGGGGUAACGGCCCACCAAGGCGACGAUGCGUAGCCGACCUGAGAGGGUGACCGGCCACACUGGGACUGAGACACGGCCCAGACUCCUACGGGAGGCAGCAGUA
rnacentral:rRNA from 1 species